rnacentral:rRNA from 1 species
GACGAACGCUGGCGGCGUGCUUAACACAUGCAAGUCGAACGGAAAGGCCCUGCUUUUGUGGGGUGCUCGAGUGGCGAACGGGUGAGUAACACGUGAGUAACCUGCCCUUGACUUUGGGAUAACUUCAGGAAACUGGGGCUAAUACCGGAUAGGAGCUCCUGCUGCAUGGUGGGGGUUGGAAAGUUUCGGCGGUUGGGGAUGGACUCGCGGCUUAUCAGCUUGUUGGUGGGGUAGUGGCUUACCAAGGCUUUGACGGGUAGCCGGCCUGAGAGGGUGACCGGCCACAUUGGGACUGAGAUACGGCCCAGACUCCUACGGGAGGCAGCAGUGGGGAAUAUUGCACAAUGGGCGGAAGCCUGAUGCAGCAACGCCGCGUGCGGGAUGGCGGCCUUCGGGUUGUAAACCGCUUUCGCCUGUGACGAGGCGUGAGUGACGGUAAUGGGUAAAGAAGCACCGGCUAACUACGUG